ACACCGGUGCCCAAGAUUGAGGCUGUUGGGUGUCAUCGCGCUUCGGUCUCUACAGCUGUUGGUUACGGAAAACAGGACCCGUCGAACCUUUUCAAAACUUAUGCCAGAAGGCAGUGUGAUUGCACAAGUUUACAAUUAUGGAAAUGUUCUUUAGCCUUAAUACUUGAUUUAGGAUAGUGAUUUGGUAACAUAUCUGGACGCUGAGCUGAGGUAAUUUUAGUAAUUUUAGGUCUAAAGAUCAUGGAGAACAGUAGAUUUGUAAACGUUAGAGACUGAGUAGAUAGAACUUGAAUUUUUCUAAGAGAUAAAACUUCCUAGAAGGAACUUCUCUAAACAGAAAACCUUCUAAGUGUGUCUUACUUUAAAAACAAGUUUAAUCCUCUCAACUUGGCUUAGUUGUGUCUUCAUCUUAUUGAGUGUUGGAAGGAAGGGGUUCCUAACGGGACAGAGGAGUAGGGGAACAGAAGUUGCACCUCAAACUUCUGCUAAAUCUUAACUAAAAAGCAACCGUUAGCUUUUAGCACAAACAGAACCUGUAGAUUUUCAUAUUACAGUGACUGCAGAUGUCUUCAAUCUCUAACGUUUCCCAUUUGCUUGAAAUUAAGGAACUGUUUGUCGUUCAUGGCUAGUAAUUAAAAUAUGUUAUAGCUGGAUAUGGUUGCCCAUGCCUUUAAUCCCAGCACUUGCCUUUAAUCCCAGCACUCAGAAGGCAGAGGCAGGAGGAUCUCUGAGUUCUGGGGAAAGCCUUGCUCACCUUUUAAUCCCAGCAUUCAGAAGGCAGAGGCAGGGCGAUCUCUGUGAGUUCUGGGGAAAGCCUGGUCUACAAGGAGAGUUCCAGGACAGCCAGAGCUGUUGUUUGUUACACAGAGAAACAGUCUCAACACCACCAAACCAAACUAUUAUGUCCUUACCUUGUCAAUGGUGUAUUUUAGUAGAUACUCUUCUAGAUCAUUUGUUUCCUUUGUAUUACAUAAUUUACUUGUGAAAGUAUCCUUAUGUAUCACGCUGCCUCAGGAUCCCUUGGCAUACAGCCCGAGAUUAAGGUACCUCUUAUAAAAUAGUUAAAGCUGCCAGAGCAUGGGGAUUUGAACCUUGGUUCUAUUGUUCCAAUUCCUUGACUCUUAAACUAACGUCGAACGUAAAAUGAAAUAAAAGAUAAACUGGGUCCUGUGUAUGCCAGACACAGCAGUAGGCUGCUGUAAUUGGAUUACCUCUUGGUCACCUAAGCAGACAAGCAAGUGCUUGAUUAUUUGCCCUUGGUAGUUAAGGAAACUGAGGCCUAGCCGGGUCACACAGGUUUCGUGCUCAAGGUCACACAGGUGCAACCUGCCUGACCCCAGAUGGACCCCUGUAGUCUCUACAGUGUAGCACUUCCUGCUUCUUGUUGCCUCUGCUGUGCCAGCUGCAGAACUUCAGAGGAAGAGCCCGAAAGUGAUUGCAGCUAAGUUUGCUCUGGUGCAGCAUGUUUAAUCUAAGUCAUCAGCGUGGCUGCUCAGCUCAGCAGCAAAGACCCUGCUGUGCUUUCCUGGCUGGCUCACAAGCUCUGGCACUAGAAACAAAACCACACGGCCAUCACGGUUGCCUUCCUGGUGUUUUCUUAGCCCUAGUGCUGAGUAUCUACCCUGUUGCAAUCAUCCCUUCAAUUUUGCCUUGAGUGUAGUCCAAGCACUCAGGAGAAACUGAAGCAUUCUUUGUGAUAUAAAACUAUUGGCACGUGUCUUAUGGAGGACAGAUUGGUUUGCUCUUGUGACAGUUCAUUUGAAUGGUCAGGCUCAUUGGACUUAGAGAUUCAGAGCUCACUGUUUUAACCAUAGCGGUUAAGAGCACUUCCUGCUCUUAAAGAGGACCAGAGUUCUGUUCCCAGUGCCUACAUGCAGCUCACAACCACCUGUAACUCCAGUUCCAGGAGAUCCAGUGACCAUUCUGGUCUCCAUCGACAUCAGGCAGGCAGGCAGGCAGGAUACAUACAUAUGGGCGAAAAUGCACACAGUCAAAAGAAAAAAACAAGG
rnacentral:lncRNA from 1 species